rnacentral:rRNA from 1 species
CACAUGCAAGUCGCGUGCGCAGUUUCCGUAGCAAUACGGGGAUGGGCGCACGGCGCACGGGUGCGUAACACGUGGGCAAUCUGCCCUCCGAUGGGGAAUACCCCCGCGAAAGCGGGACUAAUUCCGCAUAACAUUCCUUGGAUUAACUUUCGAGGAUUCAAAGCAGCAAUGCGUCGGAGGAGGAGCCCGCGCCCGAUUAGCUAGUUGGUGAGGUAACGGCUCACCAAGGCAAUGAUCGGUAGCUGGUCUGAGAGGAUGGCCAGCCACACUGGAACUGAGACACGGUCCAGACUCCUACGGGAGGCAGCAGUGGGGAAUCUUGCACAAUGGGCGAAAGCCUGAUGCAGCGACGCCGCGUGGGGGAUGAAGCUUUUCGGAGUGUAAACCCCUUUCGACUGGGACGAAUGCCUCGCAAGAGGAGUGACGGUACCAGUAUAAGAAGCCCCGGCUAACUACGUGCCAGCAGCCGCGGUAAGACGUAGGGGGCCAGCGUUGUUCGGAAUUACUGGGUGUAAAGGGUUCGUAGGCGGUGUGGCAAGUCGGGAGUGAAAUCUCUGGGCUCAACCCAGAGACUGCUUCCGAAACUGCUGUGCUUGAGUGUGAGAGAGGCUCGUGGAAUUGCAGGUGUAGCGGUGAAAUGCGUAGAUAUCUGCAGGAACACCCGUGGCGAAAGCGGCGA